GACGAACGCUGGCGGCGUGCUAAACACAUGCAAGUCGAACGGUAAGGCCCUUCGGGGUACACGAGUGGCGAACGGGUGAGUAACACGUGGGUGAUCUGCCCUGCACUUCGGGAUAAGCCUGGGAAACUGGGUCUAAUACCGGAUAGGACUCCGGACUGCAUGGUCUGGGGUGGAAAGCUUUUGCGGUGUGGGAUGGGCCCGCGGCCUAUCAGCUGGUUGGUGGGGUGAUGGCCUACCAAGGCGACGACGGGUAGCCGGCCUGGGAGGGUGACCGGCCACACUGGGAAUGAGAUACGGCCCAGACUCCUACGGGAGGCAGCAGUGGGGAAUAUUGCACAAUGGGCGCAAGCCUGAUGCAGCGACGCCGCGUGAGGGAUGACGGCCUUCGGGUUGUAAACCUCUUUCAGCAUCGACGAAGCGAAAGUGACGGUAGGUGCAGAAGAAGGACCGGCCAACUACGUGCCAGCCGCCGCAGUAA
rnacentral:rRNA from 1 species